rnacentral:rRNA from 1 species
GACGUAGGGGACGAGCGUUGUCCGGAUUUAUUGGGCGUAAAGCGCGCGUAGGCGGCUUGGAAAGUCGGAUGUGAAAAUCCGGGGCUCAACCCCGGACCUGCAUCCGAUACUUCCAGGCUAGAGGUAGGUAGGGGAGAUCGGAAUUCCUGGUGUAGCGGUGAAAUGCGCAGAUAUCAGGAGGAACACCGGUGGCGAAGGCGGCUCGCUGGGACGUUACUGACACUGAGGCGCGAAAGCGUGGGGAGCGAACAGG